rnacentral:rRNA from 1 species
UACGUAGGUGGCAAGCGAUACUCGGAAUCACUAGGCGUAAAGCGCAGGUAGGCGGUUUGGUAAGUCUUUUGUGAAAGCUCCCGGCUCAACUGGGAGAGGCCAAGGGAAACUACCGGACUAGAGUGUGGUAGGGGAUACUGGAAUUCCUGGUGUAGCGGUGAAAUGCGUAGAUAUCAGGGAGGAAUACCUAGUGGCGAAAGCAGGUAUCUGGGCCAUCACUGACGCUGAGCUGCGAAAGCUAGGGGAGCAAACAGG